AGCAGUAAAGUAAAUAUAGAUCUAGACAACGUGAGGUAUAAAACUCAGCUAAUCUCUACGUGCCAAUGCACAUAAUGUAUGAAAAUGCAACAUGUACCUCCACUCUCAAGUGCUCAACAACUUGGUACUGUAUAUGGCCAUCCGGCCCAGGGAAGAUCCAUCCCAGAAUAUAUAGACAUCACUGACAACGGUCACUCAAUACCAAGGAAGGCCAUUCUAGCCAUGUGGAGAAGAUCCAUCUCUAGGUAUCAAUGCUUCGGACAAGAUCCAUGUCCAGGGAAGAUCCAUCCAUCAAUAAUAUAAUUCGCGCCCACUUUGGGUGUGCAUACUCCGAAAGGGCUCCUACGGCCCAAGCACUAUCAUAAUCAAUAUAAUUGUUGCGGCCUGCAGCCCGACCCCAUAACUGUCAUUCAUAAUCAGGCUCUUGGCCUCACUCAGUCAUCACUCUCCAGUAUCACCCACGGGCAUGGAAACAAACCCGGAAAUAAGGAAAUGACAUGCCAAUUAUAACAACUGAGACUAAAAAUGACAUGAAAUGCAUUUAUAUAACUGAGUACAACUAACAGUGAAAUCAGUGAAAUGACCACAAGAAACGACCACUAGGGGUCCCAGCGUUAUCAGCAUGACGCCCUAAAAUGGUAUCUAGCAUGUUUACAACUCAACUACUUUAUCACAUAAUGAAAAAUCGAAUAUCAACAAGGAAGAGCCAUUAAAUGGUGCCAUGGAAUGAACCAGGUCACGAUUCUCACGGUACACGACCACACGCUCGUCACUUGGCAUUUGUGUCACCUCAUUACUAACCAUAUAAUACGUAGCUCCAGGUUUUGAACCCUCAGAACCAAGUAUGGAAGCAUUACUUACCUCAAACCAAGCAAAAAUCUUACUCUACGACGCUUUUGCCUCUCGAAUCGGCCUCCAAAUGUUCCAAACCUAGCAAAAAGUAAUACAACAUAAUAAAUAUAUGUCAAGGGGCCAAUUCCACAAUGAAAGCUACUAAAUUGGACUCAAUUCCCGAAAUCGACUCAAACCUGACCCUCGGGCCCACGUCUUGAAAUCAAACAAAAAUCACAAAACUAGAAAUUACAUUCAUUCACGAAUCUAUCCAUACCAAUGUCAUUACAUUCACUCACGAGUCUAUCCAUACCAAUGUCAUCAAAAUCCAAUAUCAUUUAGUCCCUCAAAUCGCCAAAGUACUCUCUCCAAAAUCUCAAGCCCUAACCCCUUAUUUCACUUCAAAAGUCCUACUAAUUAGAUGGGAAAUCAAGGGGAAAAACCAUAGUUAAUGAUAAUAGGGCAAGCUGUCACACCUCCUUUUUCACUAUACACCCGCGGAAGGGACGUAAAGAAGUUUUUCCAAUUAAAGGAUAAUCGAAACGUGAUUAUUUAUUAUUUAUUCAGAGUCGCACUUGGGAUAUUAAUGGUAUCCCAAGUCACUUAUUUAAUCCCGAACUGAGGAAAAUUAUGACUCUGUUAACAGUCCGCAAACCAGAAAUCCAGAUAAGGAAUUCUGUUAACACGGGAGAAGGUGUUAGGCAUUCCCGGGUUCCGUGGUUCUAGCACGGUCGCUAAACUGUUGCAUUUAGCUAUUAUCUGAUUUUAUUACAUGAGGAACCUAUGUGCUAAUUUUUACCUUUAACCGCUUUUAUUUAAUAUGUAUUUAUUUAAGAGAAAGUGAACGUUGUUUAAAGCAUACUUUCGGAUUGCGUCGCAUGAAAUGAAUCCGCAAUCCUAGGCACACUCUAUUCAACAUUUUAGGAUUUUAUUUUGGUCGCAUGAAAUGGACACCCGAAUUUAAGAAGGUAAUUUUAUUAGAAUCUCGUCUAAAAGAGUCUAACGCGUUGUCAUCUUUUGGGACGGUCGUGAAAUUCUCUAAACGACCCUUCCUGAUUUUCUAAAUAAUUUAAAACCUUUAUUGAGGGCCCCGCGAUUUUGCAUUUUAUUGGAUGAGGCUCAUCAUUUUAUUUUUAAGGGUUAGCCUAAAAGCUAUUAAAUUCUCUAUUUUUGUUUUUGUCUCUAAAGAAAAGAAAAUCCUAAUUUAUUAAUGUUGGAGCUUGGGCUUCGAGUUCAACUCCGGCCCGAAACAAAAGGGAGGACCCUUUUAGGUUGAACCCGCUACCUAGCUCAAAACCUGAAUUUUCAAGAAUUAACCCAUUAAAAGCAGUUUUGAAGGAGCCCAAAUGGCUGGCCCAAUUCCCACAACAGAACACAGGCCAAUGAGCCCAGUUCGAACCUGGACGGGAGCAACAGGCCUUCCACCUCCAUUCAAUCCAAAAUGCCAACUCGCUGCUACCUCACUUCAGAUCUCAGUUUUAACCAAUCAAAAUACAAUUGAACAAUUAUUUUUAUCUAGUUUACUGCCAUAAAGUAACGCAAGAACAAUGAAGAUGAAAUAUCAGACUUGAAUCAACAAACUUGCCAAACAAAAUGUGUUCUCGACUCUAUCACUAUAAACGUUAGGAUUAAAUUGAAAUUCACGCAUUGACUCAAACUUAUCAUUUUCUAUGCAUUUCAAAAUUCAAAUCCAAACACCAGCUUCUUCAAUUACUUCCUGAUUUUUAGAGAACAUAUUGUGGUCGUUUAUUACCAACUAUUUGCACAAAUCACAGAUGUUAUACCAGCACAUUCACAAUCUAACAAUAACCGAUCCAAAUGGACCUAUUUGCUUUAACGAUUAACUGGGCCAACAUUAUCAUACUAAUUUGAACAUGGGCUUAAACUAACAUUUAAUAACAUGAUCUAAUAAAAAGGGAUUAUCAAUGACUAGUUCCAUAUGCCUAUUUCCUAAACCUAUUAACAACCCAUAAAUUAACCAUAACAUCAGUCCUAUUAUUAAAAAUCCAGUACAUAUUUAAUCAUCUCAAAUGAACAGCAAAGACACAAUGCAUGAUUCAAAGUAAUCACAUAGUAUUUGCACUUCAAUUUCUCUUUCAAUUCAGUUUUAUACAGCUCAUGAGCGCACACACCACACAGUGCUAGAGAUAAGUACCUGGAAACAGAAACGAACAAAGGAGAUGAGUGAAUCAGCAAGCAGUAGUUGGUGUCAAAAAGUUAAAGUAGCAGUAACGAGCAACAGGAAAGCAACAACAGCCCCAGAUGCAGGAUAAAUGACUCAAAGAUGCUUAAAACCAGUCGAAGAGCCAACAAAUCAAACCCAAAAGUGAAAUGAACAGCCAAAACCCAGGAAGAUUUCCAUAUUCUCGAGAUCUAAUAGAGCAGCUCGAAAUGGAAACCCCAAAACAGUGAAGAUCAAAAGAUCUCAGCUAAAACCAUCUUUUCAACAAAUGAAAAACAGCGAUUUAUUUUGAAUGACUUUGUAUUUUUUUUUAGUUUUUUGGAUUAAAAUAAUAGCUGAAACUUGCAAAGAAAAAGAGCUCUUGAUGAAAUUUUUCUGGCUAAAAG
rnacentral:lncRNA from 1 species